rnacentral:rRNA from 1 species
UCGGGUCCAUCCCGAGGCCACGCCCGUCUGAGGGUCGGCU